GACGAACGCUGGCGGCGUGCCUAAUACAUGCAAGUAGAACGCUGAAGGAGGAGCUUGCUUCUCUGGAUGAGUUGCGAACGGGUGAGUAACGCGUAGGUAACCUGCCUGGUAGCGGGGGAUAACUAUUGGAAACGAUAGCUAAUACCGCAUAAGAGUAGAUGUUGCAUGACAUUUGCUUAAAAGGUGCAAUUGCAUCACUACCAGAUGGACCUGCGUUGUAUUAGCUAGUUGGUGGGGUAACGGCGCACCAAGGCGACGAUACAUAGCCGACCUGAGAGGGUGAUCGGCCACACUGGGAGUGAGACACGGCCCAGACUCCUACGGGAGGCGGCAGUAGGGAAACUUCGGCAAUGGGCGGAAGUCUGACCGAGCAACGCCGCGUGAGUGAAGAAGGUUUUCGGAUCGUAAAGCUCUGUUGUAAGAGAAGAACGAGUGUGAGAGUGGAAAGUUCACACUGUGACGGUAUCUUACCAGAAAGGGACGGCUAACUACGUG
rnacentral:rRNA from 1 species